GGGGAUGCCAGGUCUCGACGGGAGAAGCUGGUUCCGGAUUGCGAGCCGAGAGAUACCGACCUCGUAAAAUCAGUAUAAAACAACAAGUGCCAAUCGCACAAGUUACGCUACUCUUCCUUUAGCUGCAUAAGCUAAUCGAUGAUAGCAUGACCUCCUUUCUGAGGUCACGUCCCCUGGAGUCGUUUUUCUGACCGAAUCCAGCCAGGAUGUCAUAGAAGUCAGAAUGCUGACCGUUGAUUCGUGAGACGGUCCUAAGAGAGCCAUUGGGCUCAAACGAAUGGUUUGCCGGUAGUUGCGCAGAACACCUUAAGGCGAAUGAGACCAAAUCUUCUGCUACGCUCGUAGAGAUUCGAGAAUCUAAUCUUUCGGACGCGGGUUCGAUUCCCGCCAUCUCCACCU
rnacentral:tmRNA from 1 species